AACGUUAAACGUUUGGCUUUCUGGGUAUUCUUUGGAACACUAUCGAUCUGUUCAAUGAAGAUCAUAUGAUUCCAUCUGGGAUUUCAUUGUUAUAAGUACCUUUCUAAUGGAUCUUCAGUUGUCAGUUUUUUUUCAUGUCUUCUAAUCACAGGCAGUGAUUCCUUAUGCAGGGUCCAGAUGGUCAUAAACUUCUCGGGCAUAUUGACAGGUUUGUCUGGGAAAAUUCUACAGUACUGGGGUGUAUCCCAUACUGUUUGUUUGAUGAAUAUUUGUGACCGUCAGAUCCACAAUAUAUCCAAUGGUCGUGGAUAUUCGAAUCAAGUUAACCUAUUUAGCGGGUAACUGGUUCAUAUGAUAUGCCACCACGACUCUCUCUCUCUCUCUCUCUCUCUUCGUGACUCUGCCUCCCCACUGCUCAUCCAGUCGUCUUCAGCCUCCAGCCCACGGGUUCUCUCUGUGCGGCAAAGACCCUCUCCGUCUCAGCGUGUCUCCUUGAUCGUUGAGGCGUCGAUGGCCCUUUCUACACUCGACGGUGACGAACUAACGGUGGUAACUCGGCUCUUACUUUCUGGGUUUUCAGUCGAAUAGCCUCGAAGUCUUGAACUUGGUUGCUCUCUUCCUCAAGCAGCAAAGCAGAAAGCCUGAAACAAGCUUGGUUAGUUGCUGAAAUCAAGCUUGGUUAGCUGGUUCUGAAAUUGGCAUUCAACAAUUUAUGUUCUUAAAUUGUUCUUUUGUUGCUGAUAUUGCUUGCUUCUAUGUUUUGGGGUUUACUUUCGAGUUUGUGAAGAGUAAAGAUUGAUUCUUUUCUCAUGUAAAUUGAGGGGAUUGAUGGGAGUUUGAAGAAAUGGGGUUUUUGUUGUUAUUUAAAACGGGCUGUGUGUCCUGCUGAACAAAGUUUGAGUCUUUUCUCAUGUAAAUUGAGAGCCCUGAAGGGAAUUUGAAGAGAUAGAACAGUGGAUGGUAGAGCUUCAAACUGUUAUUUGGUUGGAGGGCAAUAUCGACAGAAUGAAUCCUCUGCAGAUUUCAACUACUCCACAGGAUUAUGGGCACUAAUUACGGAUUUAGAGUGAUCAUGAUUUUACUAUGUUUGUAAAAACUCAAGAGGAAUUUGAUGAAGACAGGAUCAGUAAAAUGCCAGAUGAUGUUCUCUGCUUUCAUGUCAGCUGUUCUGUACAUAUUCUUAAACACCAUUGUGGAGAGGAGACCUCAUGUAUUCCAAAAGAUGAAGAACCUAGCUGUGAUCGCGUAAGCUGACUUGCGAACCAUACAUUCAGCCAUAUGGUGAGAAAUGGAUUAGAAUCUAAACUCUGAAACUUAUUUUUGACACACUCAGGAGGAGAGGUUUGGUUUUGAAGUUCAUUCAGCUUUUUUGUUGUUUAGUAAAAAAAAAAAAAACUUUUUCCUCUGAGUUUGAUGAGUUUUUUUCCUUCUUAUUACUCGCUUACUCUUUUUUGCACUAGCUGAUCGUUCAUGUAUAUGGGACUUAUUAGUUCUUAAUUCAACAUGUCGUAUUAAGUUUUAAGGGACAACCUGUUUUCUCAAACUAGCAUGACAGAUUAAAAAGUAAAAUGUACAUCCUAAAUUUCAAACUUCUGACUAUCAGUAUGUACAUUUUUUUUCCUUCAGUUGACACCUAUAGUUAUUUGAACUAUAACUUCUUAUGUCAUACUGAGAUUUGGUAUAUCAGUGAGAGAUUCUAUCUUUGUGAAGGACAGUGUUAUUGACCUACAUGUAGUUAUUGUUUUACAGUACUAAGCAGUUGCCUAGUUUUUUCUUUUGUCUAGGAAUCAGUGUGUUUUAUUCUUCCCUUCUGUGUUGGUAUAAAGUAUAAGUUUGCUCUUGCUCCUAUACGUUUGUGUAUGGAGAAAUGUUUUUGAAUUGCUUUCAGGUAUAGGAAUGAUGCGAUAACUCAUGAAAGCUGUCUAUGAUUCCAAAGCAACUUUUCAACUGUAUAAACAUCUCAAGUUGUUUUAAAUUUGGGAAAGCUACAAACUUCAUUCUGCCAUGAAAUUACAGUAGAGAUUGGAAGGGCAAGCCAUACCCCUGGAUCUUUGUCGAUCAUUAUGGCUGGAAGAUUCAAGGGCAAUAGGGUUGUCUCUUUGAAGCAUCAUUCUUCUUGCUUGCUUUUGGUCACUUUUACGUUUGGUUUUUCUUAACUGAGUGAGAAAUUGUUUUUACUCUUGGUUACCAAGGCUAAGGCCUUUUGAUGAAUGUACAUUUAGUUUGCUAUGUUUGAGUGUCAUUGUGGAUGUAUAAUGUAUGUAACGUUUGCAAAUGUAGUAUUAUUAAGCUGAACACCAGCAGCAUUGCGCGGGCUGCAAUACCUAGUUACUAAUGAUACUAGAAUAAGGGCGGCUGUUACUACUAACAAGUAUUUGAUUCAUAAGUGGGGCCAAAGUCAAUUCUUUCUAGCCAUUUGAUGUGGGUUCUCAGUUUUUGAUCAACUUGUCGUUAUUGAUUGCUUGUUCAGUCACUUAAGUUAUGAAAUAAUAGUAUUUAAUUGAA